UGCGAUGAAAUUCACACUCCAUAUGGAGUAGCCCUCGAGCUUGUAAUUUGCAUCAUUUUCCCCUUAAAACCUGGAGAAAAAACUUUUUUGUCGAUGGACACGUGGCAUGCAGCCCCCGAGCCUUUAGCCGACUAGUUUGGUGGGUACAGGGGCCAAACUUGGUAAACGUGACCAGCCCUUGGAGUAUCCAAAUCUUCGUUUCAAAAUAAAAGUAACCACCAAUCAGGUUUCCUAAAUUUUGGGGAUCCUUUAAAUCGAAAACCAUUCACUGCAUAGUUUUUACUGUGCCACUAUUAUAAAUAACUCAGGAAGUUAUCCCUUCCAUCUUACCCUUGCCAUUUGUCUUUCCAACUUUCGUACUAUAGCCCUAGCACCGCCACCACUGCCUGAUCUCUGAGCAUUUGCCCUACCAAACUCCAUCCCUCCUAGCCCC
rnacentral:lncRNA from 1 species